GUUAUCCGGUCACCGGCGUUCAUUCUCCGGUCAUAUCAGCAUAUUGAUAUCUGUGUAUGGACUAGGUUGAGUUAAAGCUUAAAUUAUGGCAAUCUUCGAUGAUGAAGAUGAACCACUUGUUCAGUUUCUCGAAUCGGAGAUCUUCACUCUCUCCGACCAGGAUGAAGAGAUCGUAGAGGAUAUCAUGGACGAAGGUGAUGUAAAGAGGAAAGGUAAGCGCCUUAAAGUUGAAGAUGGUAAUGAUGGAUUUGAAGGAGAGGAGGAGCGAGUAACAAAGAAAAUGAGAGUUCUGGUGGAUGAGGAUGAGUCUGAGUAUGAGGAUGAGAUUGAGGGAAAGGAGAAGAGGGAACAAGAUGAGGAGGAGGAGGAAGAGAAGAGGGAAGCCAAGGUAAUGAAAAUUGAGGAGGAGGAGGAAGACGAGGAGGAAAAGGUGAAGGCAUUACUAUCAUCUCCAUCUUUGUCAGCACCAGCUGAAGUUGAAUGUGCAUCUUCACCUCCAAGGAUGAGUCAGAGUGUCAUGGAUAAUAAUAACAGUGUUGCCAGUACAAGUGACAACAUGAGUCAGGUCCCAAGUAGAAUAGAGACUGGAAUUCUCAGCAAAGUCCCUCCAGAAUUGCUCCGUCACAUCCUCAAGUUCCUCUCACCAGAGGAUCUUGUGGCAUGUACAAUGGUCUGCAAGUUUUUAAACUUUGCUGCUUCUGAUGAAUCCUUGUGGCGCUGGCUGUAUCGGAUGCGAUGGGGUCUGUUGCUCCCAACUAGAAAGCCACGUGACUGUGCUUGGAAGAAGCUUUACAUCCAGCGUGAUGCAGAUGAUAUGAUGGAGUUUGUCAGGAAUACUCCUACAGAAUUUAAGGAGUAUUACAUCCAAAUGCAGGCAGCAAAAAGAAGCCAAGCUCCUCCUCCGUCUCAGGUAAAUGAUGACCGAAUAAUUCUUGAUAAGACAGUUGCUGAUCAAGUCUCUACUUGGAAGAAAAGCAAAGGUCUGGGUGAUAAAGUGGUGAUUGAUCAUGUGUGCUCUGGGGAGACGUGCACUUACUAUCAAAUAGGAGAUGUAUAUGUUUGUGAGAAAACUGGAUAUGUCCAUGUUUGUGAUGACACAUGCAAGGAAGUUGUAUCUGAUCCUAUAAAUGGUCUUCUGGUGUGUACCAUUUCAGGCCACUGUUUCGAUAGGAUGUUGUCACCUUCCGAAAUGGAACUAGAUGGGGAGCAGCAACAAGUUGGCACUACAGAUGAAGCAGAGCCAUUCAU
rnacentral:misc_RNA from 1 species